rnacentral:rRNA from 1 species
GUGGGGAAUUUUGGACAAUGGGCGCAAGCCUGAUCCAGCAAUGCCGCGUGCAGGAAGAAGGCCUUCGGGUUGUAAACUGCUUUUGUACGGAACGAAACGGUCCGGGUUAAUACCCUGGGCUAAUGACGGUACCGUAAGAAUAAGCACCGGCUAACUACGUGCCAGCAGCCGCGGUAAUACGUAGGGUGCAAGCGUUAAUCGGAAUUACUGGGCGUAAAGCGUGCGCAGGCGGUUUUGUAAGACAGGCGUGAAAUCCCCGGGCUCAACCUGGGAAUUGCGCUUGUGACUGCAAGGCUGGAGUGCGGCAGAGGGGGAUGGAAUUCCGCGUGUAGCAGUGAAAUGCGUAGAUAUGCGGAGGAACACCGAUGGCGAAGGCAAUCCCCUGGGCCUGUACUGACGCUCAUGCACGAAAGCGUGGGGAGCAAACAGGAUUAGAUACCCGAGUAGUCC